rnacentral:lncRNA from 10 species
CAGGGUCGACCACUGGGGGUCAGGAUAAGCUUGCAGAGUGGCCCUGUCGCCGGCCUGAACUUUCUCGGGAGGGGAAGGCGGCUGUGCACAGAACGGCACGCCCUGGGAAGCAAAGGCUUGACGGAGAAGUUGAUGAAAGAUGCACCUUAGGUGUCCCCGAGCAGGGCCGCCGGCCUCGCCGGAGGUUCCCUUGGCAGCCCUUAUUUGUAAGGCAAAUCCAGGCCCGCGCACACGUUGCUCGAAUGUCAGCUCCACAUUUCUGUUCCUUUUGAUGAUGAUAUGUUGAAGAGGGAAUCAGUGCCUUUCUCGAAGCUGAGAAAAAAACCCAGAUUGGUCAACAUGGUUUUAUAAACAAGUGGUACUUCAGCAACAGCAACCAAAGUCCUAUUUAAUGAACCAGUGGAAGGUAUCCGUCUGUGAUAGCCAACUGUUUCCUUUUUCCAAGGGGCUCAUCUUCUCCUUUGGUGACCCAAAAUGCCUUUUACUUUGAGCCACACCCUCUGCCUGCAAUCCUGCAGGAUAAAAUGGGGAUGGAGGUAGAAAGCAAGUGGAUCACUUGGUACUGUCUGACUUGAUAGCCAGCUGUUGAAUGGCCUGCCAUGGCGUCACUACGAGAAUGGGGAAACUGUUCUUUUACUUCUGGAAGAAGGAGAAGCCAGAAGUUUAUUUAAUCUUUUCUAGGCAACUUAUUUUAUUGCAUUUUUAAUUUCCUCUCUUGCAUUAACAUGACCCUUUUCACUGGCUUCCCACGCCUGGUGCUUAAUUACUUAUCAUUAGCAAUGUACAUGGGGGCCUUGCUGCAUAUUUAUAAAUGUGAUCAUUAGUACAUGGAAAGACAAAGGCUUCUUUAAGACUGUCAUUAGUUAUUCUGUUUUCAUGGAAAUGUUCAUUAGGAGAAACUACCCACCUGGUUAAAUAAUUAUAAUUAAGAAUUGGUAAUCUCCUUUGCAUUUUUAACUUGAUCUUCCGUCUGUUUGUGUGAAGCUAAACAAGCCUUAUUUGGCAAGUAUUCUAUCUUUCAUUUUCACAAGAAUUGUCAACAAAUACAUACUCUUUGUUUUUAACCUAUAGGUGCUGAC